rnacentral:rRNA from 1 species
AAAACGACUCUCGGCAACGGAUAUCUCGGCUCUCGCAUCGAUGAAGAACGUAGCGAAAUGCGAUACUUGGUGUGAAUUGCAGAAUCCCGUGAACCAUCGAGUCUUUGAACGCAAGUUGCGCCCGAAACCUUUUGGUCGAGGGCACGUCUGCCUGGGCGUCACGC